GGGGAGCGGGCGGUUGCUAUACAUGCAAGUCGAACGCGUUGGCCCAAUUGAUUGAUGGUGCUUGCACCUGAUUGAUUUUGGUCGCCAACGAGUGGCGGACGGGUGAGUAACACGUAGGUAACCUGCCCAGAAGCGGGGGACAACAUUUGGAAACAGAUGCUAAUACCGCAUAACAACGUUGUUCGCAUGAACAACGCUUAAAAGAUGGCUUCUCGCUAUCACUUCUGGAUGGACCUGCGGUGCAUUAGCUUGUUGGUGGGGUAAUGGCCUACCAAGGCGAUGAUGCAUAGCCGAGUUGAGAGACUGAUCGGCCACAAUGGGACUGAGACACGGCCCAUACUCCUACGGGAGGCAGCAGUAGGGAAUCUUCCACAAUGGGCGCAAGCCUGAUGGAGCAACACCGCGUGAGUGAAGAAGGGUUUCGGCUCGUAAAGCUCUGUUGUUAAAGAAGAACACGUAUGAGAGUAACUGUUCAUACGUUGACGGUAUUUAACCAGAAAGUCACGGCUAACUACGUGCCAGCAGCCGCGGUAAUACGUAGGUGGCAAGCGUUAUCCGGAUUUAUUGGGCGUAAAGAGAGUGCAGGCGGUUUUCUAAGUCUGAUGUGAAAGCCUUCGGCUUAACCGGAGAAGUGCAUCGGAAACUGGAUAACUUGAGUGCAGAAGAGGGUAGUGGAACUCCAUGUGUAGCGGUGGAAUGCGUAGAUAUAUGGAAGAACACCAGUGGCGAAGGCGGCUACCUGGUCUGCAACUGACGCUGAGACUCGAAAGCAUGGGUAGCGAACAGGAUUAGAUACCCUGGUAGUCCAUGCCGUAAACGAUGAGUGCUAGGUGUUGGAGGGUUUCCGCCCUUCAGUGCCGGAGCUAACGCAUUAAGCACUCCGCCUGGGGAGUACGACCGCAAGGUUGAAACUCAAAGGAAUUGACGGGGGCCCGCACAAGCGGUGGAGCAUGUGGUUUAAUUCGAAGCUACCCGAAGAACCUUACCAGGUCUUGACAUCU
rnacentral:rRNA from 2 species